rnacentral:lncRNA from 9 species
GGGAGUUACGUUGCUUGAGGUGAAACAGCAGAUUUGCUCUCUCUGAGCAGGUGGCACUGAGGCUGAGACCCAGGGGGUGGAGGACGUAUUCUGUGCAGCCCUGGGGGAACCUCUGCUGGGGGUGCAAGCCUGGGAAUGACUCAGAUGCUCCCCUAGCCGAGAGCUUGGCAAGGGCUCAGUCCUAAGGUGCAGGGAGGGUGUCUAAGCUAAGUCCACUGGGAGCCAGAGCCUCUCCUUGGGGUGGCGGCCCGGGAGAGGUGGCCCAGAGGAUGACGGCCUGAGGGCCCCUUUGGGAAGGGGGUGCACCCUGGAGUGCGGGGCCGGGAGCAGACCGGAACACAGACGGCUUGUUGCAGCAAAGGUUUUUAAAACAGCCUUUCCUCAGACGGUGCUUGAUAGUGGAAGGCGGGGAUGUCGUUCUUCCUCUGGGGAAGCCUUGGGACAGAAAGAAGCAACUCCUCACCCCACCCUCUCUGCGGGGCCAGCAAGGAAACACCGCCCAGGAGCUCCGUGCGUGGAGCUGGACGGGAGAGGCUCGGAGCUGGGUUUCCUCUUAGAGGAGAAGCAACCCCCCUUCAUUCUUGGGAGGACUCGGGUGCCUGUGGUGAGCAGCAGCCACUGCUCAGUCCUGGGAAACAGAGGAGGGGAUGAGCGGAUGGGGGGAACUGCUCCAACAUCCCAAUAAGUAAAAGCUGCGCAGAUUCCAUAGGAGGAGCCAGGCGAGGCAAGGCGUCCGGGACACAGACGACGACAUACCGCCGGGAACUCACUUCGCCCUGAGUGAAGACCUGGCGGAACUACUUCCUCAGCCUCAGGUGUCUGUUCCUUGUCACGUCCUCCAUCCCGCUGCUCAGCCUAACCUGUUCCCCCUCCAGAAAACUAAGCCAAACAACGAGCCAACAAAGCCCCCUGCCCUCUGGAGGGGCUGCUCGGUUCCUUUGGGGGCAGAGCGCGAUUACCAAAGGGCAGGACACAGGAGUCCUGAUGCCCACCAGAGGAGGCGAGCCGAGGGAAGGUGAACCAAGAGGAUGCUUUAUUUUUCUGCUGCAUUUUUCACAAGGAGGAUGUCCUGUAAGAGGCAGGUGGAAUUAUAACUAGAUUCCAGGCAGCAGAUUGGGGAGCUGUCAGGGACGCUGGCUAGGAGCUUGUGUCCCCCCAGAUUCCUAUGUUGAAGCCCUAAUCCCCAGUGUGACUGAAUAUGGAGCUGAGGCCUUUAGGGAGGUGAUGCAGGUUGAACAGGUCAUGAAGGUGGGGCCCUGAUGCAACAGGACUGGUGUCCUUAUAAGAGACACCAGGGAGUUCCUAUCUUGGCUCCACAGAAAUGAAUCUGACUAGUAUCCAUGAGGACAAAAGUUUGAUCCCUGGCCUUGCUCAGUGGGUUAAGGAUCCAGCGUGGCCGUGAGCUGUGGUGUAGGUUGGUGGCCACAGCUCCGUGGUAACAGCUCUGAUUAAACCCCCUAGCCUGGGAACCUCCAUAGGCUUCAUGUGUGGCCCUAAAAGGACAAAAGACAAAAAUAAAUAAAUAAAAAUAAAAAUAAAAAAUAAAGUGCUGUUGAAUUUAGUCUGCUAACGACGUGUGAGAGAGAGAGUGUGUGUGUGUGUGUGUCUGUGAAUUUUUGCAUCUAUGUUCUUCAGGACCAUUGGCCUGCAGUUUUUUUUUGUUUUUUUUUUUUUUGGAGUGUCAUUGUUUUCCUUUGUAUUAGGAUAGUGCUAGCCUUAUAAAAUGAGUUUGAGGGUUUCCCUCCCUUUCAA